AGGUUAAGCUACAAAGAGCACACGGAGGAUGCCUAGGCGCCAGGAGCCGACGAAGGACGUGGCGAACAACGAUAAGGCCUCGGGGAGCUGUAAGCAAGCUUUGAUCCGGGGAUGUCCGAAUGGGGAAACCCGGCUGUCUUCAUCGACAGUCACUACUCACUGAAUUCAUAGGUGAGUGAGAGGCAGACCAGGGGAACUGAAACAUCUAAGUACCCUGAGGAAGAGAAAACAAUAGUGAUUCCGUCAGUAGCGGCGAGCGAACGCGGAUUAGCCCAAACCAAGGAGCUUGCUCCUUGGGGUUGUGGGACGUCUCACAUGGAGUUACAAAGGAACCGGUUAGAUGAAGAGGUCUGGAAAGGCCCGCCAGAGAAGGUAAAAGCCCUGUAGUUCAAAGCCCGUUCUCUCCGAGACGGAUCCCGAGUAGUGCGGGGCACGUGAAACCCCGUAUGAAUCCGGCAGGACCAUCUGCCAAGGCUAAAUACUCCCUGGCGACCGAUAGUGAAGCAGUACCGUGAGGGAAAGGUGAAAAGCACCCCGGAAGGGGAGUGAAAUAGAUCCUGAAACCGUGUGCUUACAAGAAGUCAGAGCCCUAUGAUAUUUUCCUUUGGAAAAAUCACGGGUGAUGGCGUGCCUUUUGUAGAAUGAACCGGCGAGUUACGUUCCCGUGCAAGGUUAAGGUGAAGAGCUGAAGCCGCAGCGAAAGCGAGUCUGAAUAGGGCGAAUGAGUACGUGGACGUAGACCCGAAACCGGGUGAUCUACCCCUGUCCAGGGUGAAGGUGCGGUAACACGCACUGGAGGCCCGAACCCACGCAUGUUGAAAAAUGCGGGGAUGAGGUGGGGGUAGCGGAGAAAUUCCAAUCGAACCCGGAGAUAGCUGGUUCUCCCCGAAAUAGCUUUAGGGCUAGCCUCGGAAAGAAGAAUCGUGGAGGUAGAGCACUGAUUGGGUGCGGGGCCCGCAAGGGUUACCAAGCUCAGUCAAACUCCGAAUGCCAUAGAUUUAGUUCCGGGAGUCAGACAGUGAGUGCUAAGAUCCAUUGUCGAAAGGGAAACAGCCCAGACCAUCAGCUAAGGUCCCCAAGUGUGUGUUAAGUGGGAAAGGAUGUGGAGUUGCACAGACAACCAGGAUGUUGGCUUAGAAGCAGCCACCAUUGAAAGAGUGCGUAAUAGCUCACUGGUCGAGUGACUCUGCGCCGAAAAUGUAACGGGGCUAAACACACCACCGAAGCUAUGGCUUGAUGCUUUUGCAUCAGGGGUAGGGGAGCGUUGAAUGCGGGUUGAAGGUGUACCGGAAGGAGCGCUGGACUGCAUUCAAGUGAGAAUGCCGGUAUGAGUAACGAAAAGAUCUGUGAGAAUCAGAUCCGCCGAAAGCCUAAGGGUUCCUGAGGAAGGUUCGUCCGCUCAGGGUAAGUCGGGACCUAAGGCGAGGCCGAUAGGCGUAGUCGAAGGACAACAGGUGGAAAUUCCUGUACCACCGUAAUCCGCUAUGAGCGAUGGGGUGACGCAGUAGGGUAGUGACGCGGACUGAUGGAUGUCCGUCUAAGCAGUGAGGCUGAUGUGUAGGCAAAUCCGCACAUCGUAAGGCUGGGCUGUGAUGGGGAGCGAAAAUUAUAGUAGCGAAGGUCAUGAUCUCAGACUGCCAAGAAAAGCCUCUAGCCAGGAGAAGGUGCCCGUACCGCAAACCGACACAGGUAGGCGAGAAGAGAAUUCUAAGGCGCGCGGAAGAACUCUCGUUAAGGAACUCGGCAAAAUGACCCCGUAACUUCGGGAGAAGGGGUGCCUCGGUAGGGUGAAUAGCCCGAGGGGGCCGCAGUGAAAAGGCCCAAGCGACUGUUUAGCAAAAACACAGGUCUGUGCGAAGCCGCAAGGCGAAGUAUACGGGCUGACGCCUGCCCGGUGCUGGAAGGUUAAGGGGAGUGGUAAGCUCGCAAGAGCGAAGCUAUGAACCGAAGCCCCAGUAAACGGCGGCCGUAACUAUAACGGUCCUAAGGUAGCGAAAUUCCUUGUCAGGUAAAUUCUGACCCGCACGAAUGGCGUAACGACUUGGGCGCUGUCUCAACGAGAGAUCCGGUGAAAUUUUAAUACCUGUGAAGAUGCAGGUUACCCGCGACAAGACGGAAAGACCCCAUGGAGCUUUACUGCAGCUUGAUAUUGAAUUUGGGUACGAUCUGUACAGGAUAGGUGGGAGCCGUAGAGCCUUGAGCGCCAGCUUGAGGGGAGGCAUCCUUGGGAUACCACCCUGAUCGUAUCUAGGUUCUAACUUGGUACCGUGAUCCGGUGCGAGGACAGUGUCAGGUGGGCAGUUUGACUGGGGCGGUCGCCUCCUAAAGAGUAACGGAGGCGCCCCAAGGUUCCCUCAGAAUGGUUGGAAAUCAUUCGAAGAGUGCAAAGGCAGAAGGGAGCUUGACUGCGAGACCUACAAGUCGAGCAGGGACGAAAGUCGGGCUUAGUGAUCCGGUGGUACCGCAUGGAAGGGCCAUCGCUCAACGGAUAAAAGCUACCCUGGGGAUAACAGGCUUAUCUCCCCCAAGAGUCCACAUCGACGGGGAGGUUUGGCACCUCGAUGUCGGCUCAUCGCAUCCUGGGGCUGAAGUAGGUCCCAAGGGUUGGGCUGUUCGCCCAUUAAAGCGGUACGCGAGCUGGGUUCAGAACGUCGUGAGACAGUUCGGUCCCUAUCUGUCGUGGGCGUAGGAAAUUUGAGAGGAGCUGUCCUUAGUACGAGAGGACCGGGAUGGACGUACCGCUGGUGUACCAGUUGUUCCGCCAGGAGCACCGCUGGGUAGCUAUGUACGGAAGGGAUAAGCGCUGAAAGCAUCUAAGCGUGAAGCCCCCCUCAAGAUGAGAUUUCCCAAUUAGUAAGACCCCUUGAAGACGACGAGGUAGAUAGGUUGGGGGUGGAAGUGCAGUAAUGCAUGGAGCUGACCAAUACUAAUCGGUCGAGGGCUUAUCCUAAA
rnacentral:rRNA from 1 species